UACGAAGGGGGCUAGCGUUGUUCGGAUUUACUGGGCGUAAAGCGCACGUAGGCGGGUCGUUAAGUCAGGGGUGAAAUCCCGGAGCUCAACUCCGGAACUGCCUUUGAUACUGGCGACCUUGAGGCUGGAAGAGGUUAGUGGAAUUCCCAGUGUAGGGGUGAAAUUCGUAGAUAUUGGGGAAGAACACCAGUGGCGAAGGCGGCUAACUGGUCCAGAUCUGACGCUGAGGUGCGAAAGCGUGGGGGAGCAAACAGG
rnacentral:rRNA from 1 species